AGAGUUUGAUCAUGGCUCAGGACGAACGCUGGCGGCGUGCUUAACACAUGCAAGUCGAACGAUGAUCCGGUUUCGGCCGGUGAUUAGUGGCGAACGGGUGAGUAACACGUGGGUAAUCUGCCCUGCACUCUGGGAUAAGCCUGGGAAACUGGGUCUAAUACCGGAUAUGACCUUCGGUCGCAUGAUCGUUGGUGGAAAGCUUUUGCGGUGUGGGAUGGGCCCGCGGCCUAUCAGCUUGUUGGUGGGGUGAUGGCCUACCAAGGCGACGACGGGUAGCCGGCCUGAGAGGGUGACCGGCCACACUGGGACUGAGACACGGCCCAGACUCCUACGGGAGGCAGCAGUGGGGAAUAUUGCACAAUGGGCGCAAGCCUGAUGCAGCGACGCCGCGUGAGGGAUGACGGCCUUCGGGUUGUAAACCUCUUUCAGCAGGGAAGAAGCGCAAGUGACGGUACCUGCAGAAGAAGCACCGGCUAACUACGUGCCAGCAGCCGCGGUAAUACGUAGGGUGCAAGCGUUGUCCGGAAUUAUUGGGCGUAAAGAGCUCGUAGGCGGCUUGUCGCGUCGGUUGUGAAAGCCCGGGGCUUAACCCCGGGUCUGCAGUCGAUACGGGCAGGCUAGAGUUCGGUAGGGGAGAUCGGAAUUCCUGGUGUAGCGGUGAAAUGCGCAGAUAUCAGGAGGAACACCGGUGGCGAAGGCGGAUCUCUGGGCCGAUACUGACGCUGAGGAGCGAAAGCGUGGGGAGCGAACAGGA
rnacentral:rRNA from 1 species